rnacentral:rRNA from 1 species
GGAGGGUGCAAGCGUUAUCCGGAUUUACUGGGUUUAAAGGGUGCGUAGGUGGGCAGGUAAGUCAGUGGUGAAAUCUUCAAGCUUAACUUGGAAACUGCCAUUGAUACUAUUUGUCUUGAAUAUCCUGGAGGUAAGCGGAAUAUGUCAUGUAGCGGUGAAAUGCUUAGAUAUGACAUAGAACACCCAUUGCGAAGGCAGCUUACUACGGGAUUAUUGACACUGAGGCACGAAAGCGUGGGGAUCAAACAGGAUUAGAUACCCUGGUAGUCCACGCCCUAAACGAUGGAUACUCGACAUCAGCGAUACACAGUUGGUGUCUGAGCGAAAGCAUUAAGUAUCCCACCUGGGAAGUACGACCGCAAGGUUG